GACGAAGAGUACAAUAGUGUGGUAACAACCUCAUUCUAGUCAUUAGUUUCAUAGAAUAAAGACUCAAGGUUAAUGACAGUUGGACACAGAAACUUCUCUACAGUUAAGACCAUGUAACUGUCAUUUGAGAGAUACCCAUCAUAUCAUGUAGUUUUUAAUGUAAUCAGCUUCAGAAACGAGGAAUUCGUCAAUUCACCAGCAUUGAUGUAAGCCAGGGAUAACUUUCCAUCAUCAGUAGCAAAUUACAAUGUGAUGGGAAACAAUUUUAUAGCCCUUUUUUUUUUAACAAUAAAACGUGCAUGUAUUUUACUUUUAUUAUUUCCCAAUAUUUUGAAAUGAAGGGUGGAUUUGAAUUGCACACCAUGUUCAAACCAUGUAUUAAACAACCCACUGGAUGUCUAUUAAGUUUUUAAGAAUUGGGAUUCACUAACUUGUUAAAAGUAUUAAAUUCAAUGUUAACAGCUUCAGUUCGAGGAAUUCGUUAGUUCACCAGCAUUGAUGUAAGCCAGGGAUAACUUAUG
rnacentral:lncRNA from 1 species